CCUACGGGAGGCAGCAGUAAGGAAUAUUGGUCAAUGGACGAAAGUCUGAACCAGCCAUGCCGCGUGAAGGAUUAAGGCCCUCUGGGUUGUAAACUUCUUUUAUCUGGGACGAAAAAAGGGUAGUCUUACUCACUUGACGGUACCAGAGGAAUAAGCACCGGCUAACUCCGUGCCAGCAGCCGCGGUAAUACGGAGGGUGCAAGCGUUAUCCGGAUUUACUGGGUUUAAAGGGUGCGUAGGUGGGCUUGUAAGUCAGUGGUGAAAUCUCCGGGCUUAACCCGGAAACUGCCAUUGAUACUAUAGGUCUUGAAUUAUCUGGAGGUAAGCGGAAUAUGUCAUGUAGCGGUGAAAUGCUUAGAUAUGACAUAGAACACCAAUUGCGAAGGCAGCUUACUACGGAUACAUUGACACUGAGGCACGAAAGCGUGGGGAUCAAACAGGAUUAGAUACCCUGGUAGUCCACGCCCUAAACGAUGGAUACUCGACAUCAGCGAUACACUGUUGGUGUCUGAGCGAAAGCAUUAAGUAUCCCACCUGGAAGUACGAUCGCAAGAUUGAAACUCAAAUGAAUUACGG
rnacentral:rRNA from 1 species